rnacentral:rRNA from 1 species
CACUCCUACGGGAGGCAGCAGUGGGGAAUAUUGGACAAUGGGCGCAAGCCUGAUCCAGCCAUGCCGCGUGAGUGAUGAAGGCCCUAGGGUUGUAAAGCUCUUUCACCGGUGAAGAUAAUGACGGUAACCGGAGAAGAAGCCCCGGCUAACUUCGUGCCAGCAGCCGCGGUAAUACGAAGGGGGCUAGCGUUGUUCGGAUUUACUGGGCGUAAAGCGCACGUAGGCGGACUAGUAAGUCAGGGGUGAAAUCCCGGGGCUCAACCCCGGAACUGCCUUUGAUACUGGUAGUCUUGAGUUCGAGAGAGGUGAGUGGAAUUCCGAGUGUAGAGGUGAAAUUCGUAGAUAUUCGGAGGAACACCAGUGGCGAAGGCGGCUCACUGGCUCGAUACUGACGCUGAGGUGCGAAAGCGUGGGGAGCAAACAGGAUUAGAAACCCGAGUAGUCCCAUGA